ACCGAAGCUGCGGCAGCGACGCUUAUGCGUUGUUGGGUAGGGGAGCGUUCUGUAAGCCUGUGAAGGUGGCCUGUGAGGGUUGCUGGAGGUAUCAGAAGUGCGAAUGCUGACAUAAGUAACGAUAAAGCGGGUGAAAAGCCCGCUCGCCGGAAGACCAAGGGUUCCUGUCCAACGUUAAUCGGGGCAGGGUGAGUCGACCCCUAAGGCGAGGCCGAAAGGCGUAGUCGAUGGGAAACGGGUUAAUAUUCCCGUACUUGGUGUUACUGCGAAGGGGGGACGGAGAAGGCUAUGUUGGCCGGGCGACGGUUGUCCCGGUUUAAGCGUGUAGGCUGGUUUUCCAGGCAAAUCCGGAAAAUCAAGGCU
rnacentral:rRNA from 1 species